AUGAUCUGUCCAUUGCUUCCAUGUAUAGUCCUUUCUAUGAAUUUGGCUCUCUGUUGAAGACUUUUAUGUUCUGGACCCCAACACCAUGGUACCUUAAAGUUGCUUAAAAACAGGUGACCAUAGGAGCUCUUGGGAUUCCACUAUUGGUAUAUAAGAGUGUUUAUUUGGAGACAAAAUAAUACAGAAAAUUUGGCCAGAAGAAAAAGUUUUAAAUGUCUUAUUGUGUCUUAUGGGCGGUUUUUCGGGAAGGGACCUCUGCCAUCUGGUUCUUGAAUGAAGUUCACAUUCUGUGAGCCGGGGACUCCUCCCAUGUCUCUAAUUGAACCACCUUCUGUUGAAUCAAUAGUGGAAGAUAACCCAAUGAAAUGUAUGCUAAUAAUAUCAGUGAGGUGGAAGGGAGAGGGGAUAAAAAAAGGGGUUAAAAUAAUAGAUUUUCUCAGUAUAUCAUUAAGUCAUGGAAUAUUAGACCUUACAUUUUAUGUAGGCCAGUCCUUUCAAUUUAAUGAUGAGGGUUCCAAGGCAUGAAGAGACUUUGUGGGUGGCUCAAGGUUAUCUCAUGAAUUAGUCUUUAACAUAGAUUCACUGCCUUGUUUCUCUAAAAAUGGACUUCCUCCACAAUUUUAUAGCCUUUCAUUGAUAGACAGUCUAUCACACAACAAUUAGGUGUACUAAAAUGAAAUCAUGAAUAUGAAAAUAUUUUAUAUAUCACCUGGCUCAUAGUAGGUGAUAACAAAAUGUUCAUAACUCCUCCAUCUCUCCUUCCCUCCCUUUCUUUCCUCUUCCCUCCUUCUUUAUCUCCUUCCUUCCUAGUGCAUAUUAAAGUUAGAAAUGUAAGAACGCAAUGUGAGUAUUAAAUCAAUGAGGCUUAUUCCCCUGUAGGAUACAGGAAAUUAGAGUUUCUCAUCUCUGGCAACUUCUAUUUGGUCUUAGCAACAUUAGUAAAGUACUUUUGUUUUUAAGAGGCUUUGAAAAGCUUCCUUGUUCAUCCAUUUUCUUCGCUAUUUCCUCCUCUUUAGCGAGGCCAGAAACUUUAACCACUGUUUCCUAGCACUUCCUGAAGGUGGAGGAAAGGGAGUAGUAUGUUUGGACUGACACGGCUAACAUAGUAUCUAGGUAAUUGAAAAUAUUCAGCCUUGAAGAGUGAGGAAUAAAAAUCCUCUCUCAUGGACUACUAGGAAUCUCUUAAAAAUUGUUUUAUGCGGGUGUAAGAAUUCUUUGCCUUUAAAAGAAAAAAUGGGCUUGACUUUGUCUCUUGCCUCUAAAUGGUUUCUAGAAGGGCUGGGUGUCCAUUUAUUAAGAGAAAUCACUGGUUUACUUCAACACGAUCAUGGAUGGGCCUACUGCCCAAAAGAUUCAGAGACAUUUACUUCCUCCCUCCCCCUUUCCUUUUAUUUAUAUAGAAGCUUUGAUCUAUUUGGGGAAUAUAGGAGUAGAUGGAAGACAUCUGGCAAUGUUAUUUUCCAGCAAAUGUUGAAUUUUAUCCAAGGAAUUUUCUUAGCUUGGUUUUAAACUGCUUACAUCUUCUCUCCAGGAGAGGCAUUCUCAGGAGGGUGGAGCCAGAUGUAGACACUUUGGUCUAUGUUUUAGUCCUUCAUGGGCUCUCCUUUUAUCUUUAAUCCAGGCACCAUCUAAGAAUUCCUUGCAUUCAGUGAGCCAGUGAGUGGCGGAAACAAACACACAAAUUCUCACUUGUGCCCUCUUCAUUUAAGACUAACAUUUUAACUCCAGGCACUUACAUCCUUUUUUGGGAAACUAUAAUUUCUUUCUCAAACCUAAUUUGCAAGGAAUUGGAUUAAUGGUCCAAUUUAUGAAAAUAAACUUCCUCAUGGGGUUGGAAAGGAGGGAGUUGGAGGAAAAUAGAUUAAGACAAAUGGAGAAUAUGAGACUAGAAAGCAAGAUGGACAUGCACAUUUUGGGGCUUGAAAUGUGUUCUAGGCUUGGUUGCAUUAUCUCUUAAGCUAUGUUAUUGUAUGAGAGAGAUAGGACAGAUAAUAAAAAGGGGUUCAAUUGUUGUGUUUACAAAGGAGAUAGGAAAGUGAGUCCUCAACAAAUAUUACUCAGAAAAAAAUGACAUGAACCAAAAGGUUGGCACCUGCAAGAAAUGGGGUUGAGUCUAAGCAGAGCAUAUUUUAACUAGAAAAAUUUAAUGGAUAUAGAAAAUAUUUAUACCGGAAAUGACCAUUUUCUUCUUUCAGAUUGUAGUAAUUUUUUUUUUCAGGGCUACACCCAUGGCCCAUGGAGGUUCCCAGGCUAGGGGUCAAAUCGGAACUAUAUGCUGCCCUAUGACACAGACACAGCAACAGCAGAUCCAACUGCGUCUAUGACCUACACCACAGCUCAUGGCAAUUCCAGAUCCUUAACUCACUGAGCCAGACCAGGGAUUGAACCUGCAUCCUUAUGGAUGCUAGUCAGAUUCAUUUUUGCUGAACCAUGAUAGGAACUCCUAGCUUGCAGUACUUUCUGUCAUGAGUUAUAUCAGAACUAUUCUGGUGAAGUGUGUGGCAAGCUGGGAAACAUUUGAUGAAUUAUCCAUAAUUUUGUGUGACACAUUUUGUGUGACACAUUCCCAGCCCACUGCAGACUCCAGGAACUGCCAUGGUGACUGUCCUAGCAGACUUUGGUUCCACAUAGGAACAACCUGAUCAUGUCUUGCAUUGAAACCAGUUGCACAUGAUUCUUGCUGCCUUCUCUGUAGAUCUUUUGACACCAAAGAGGAGAACAUCUUUUUGGCGUUCACAUGCAUACUUCAUGGAAUGUGGCUGAGUUAAUGCCCUUAGGGUCACCCCUGAACAGUGGAGGACAAAAAUCCAUGGAUACAGGCUUCCCUCCUUUAUAACCCAAGUGAACAGUUCUGGAAUGUAUUUUAUAAGUGUUUUCAGAAUAUUGUAGAGAAUAGAGCACCAACUCCUUGUCUUGCUGGACAGAACAAUAGCACAUCUUUGUAUUUGCCUUGUAUUGGAGUAUAGUUGCCCUACAGUUUUGUGUUAGUUUGGGUUCUGAAAGUGUUAGUCUAUACCCCCUGGGUGCUGUGACUAAAGCCAAUGUAGGUUAUGGUGAAGGAAGAGAAGACAGAGUAGCAUUUCUUCUAUUUUGCACCAAAAAUGGCUUCAGAGAUGAGACAAUGCCUAUAGUUAUAAGCAUUGCAAAGAGGUAGGAUAAAGGUGUCUGUGGAAAAAUGAGGUUAUUUCUGACACAGUCUACAGUAUGGAGACGUGAUGUAGCCCAGACUUCCAGGUAAAUUAUAAGUACCUUUGUGUUCAUGGAGCACAGACAGAAUGAUAUGGUACAAGACAGAGCUGGAGAAGGGGGAACAGAAGCUCAGUCCAUGGAGGCUCUUGUUUAUAGACUGUUUAUUUCUAGGGCCACAUUGUAAGUCCCCUGCAUGCAGGAAUUGUCUUUUACACCUACUUUAACUUUGCGGCACCUAGCACAGGGUGUUGAACAGGAGAUGGCUCAUCCAAAUCCAUCAAAAUCAGGUUGCUUUUUUAGGGUUGCACCCACGGCAUGUGGAAGUUCCCAGGCUAGUGGCCAAAUUGGAGUUACAGCUGCCAGUCUACACCACAGCCACAGCAAUGUGGGAUCCGAACUGUGUCUGAAAGCUACACCACUGCUUUUGGCAAUGCCGGAUCCUUAACCUACUGAGUGAGGCCAGGAAUGGAACCUGCAUCCUCCUGGAUACUAGCUGGGUUCUUAACCCAUUAAGCCACAAUGGGAACUGCCUGGUUCCAUUUUUAAAAUACAGAAAAAUAAGACUGAUAUAACAAAUAUUGUCUAGAUAAUUGUUUUUAAUGAACACUUGGAGUUUGCUUUAAAAUUUUGCACGUAGUGAAACAGUGAGUUAGCUAAAAAGAACUGAAUCAAUUCUAAUAAAUUGCACAUUUUGAAAACAGCUAAACUAAGAAUACUUAGACAUAGAUCAAUUCAGACAUCCAUUCAAUCUCCUUUCAUUCUAGAAGUCAUGUGAAUGCAUUGAUGUGCCUUCCUGGGUCAGAAUGCCCAAAGCACAGUGUUCUCACUAGAUUAUGAAUGAAAAUCUAUCAGGUGGCUAAUGAAAUAUCUGGGUGGACUGGGACCCCCUUUUACCCUGAUGAUUUAACAUCCCUUGAUUAUAUAUUUUGUAUUUAUACUUAUUGAUUUUUAUUGAAUGAAACCUUGUGGGAGAAUCAAAACUGAUAUGCUAAUUAAAGUGCAUCCUGGUUGGUUUUUAUGCAACUAUGCAAAGUUUGUAAGUAAGGCUCAGUGAUGGGUCUGCCUUUACUAAAUAGAGCUAACCAAAUGGAUGCCUAAGUUAGUUAGUAACAUGAAGUUAGCUCUUUAUAUUCCUUUCAAAAAUAGUUUAUUGGAGUAUAGUUGACCUACAAUUUUGUGUUAGUUUCAGAUGUACAGCAAAGUGAUUCAGUUAUACAUAUGUAGAUAUCCAUUCCUUUUCAGGUUCUUUUCCCAUAUAGGUUAUUUCAGAAUAUUGAGUGGAGUUCCCUUGGUUAUACCAUAGGUCCUUGUUACUUAUCUAUUUUAUAUAUAGUAGUGUGUUAUUUUCAUUCCUUUUGAUGAGGUACAGAAUUGUCUAGAACUGAGUUGAGACUUCUUGGAUGCUAAUAAUUUGCAAACACCGUGACCACCUUCUGCAAAAUACAUCUGCAGUUGUAAUAGAGAUAGGUUUAUAGACUCCUGAAUGCUUUUUCUUUUCUUAUUACCUAAAUUUAGGUAGAAGAAAUGGGCUUUCUGGGAUGAGUGUAUCCUGGAAUACUUUUGGCCAUUGCUUAACAUUCUCUUUCUCUCUGGUUCCUUCUUGCCUUCCUGAAUUAAGGAUUUUUCCUCAACUGCUAAAGCAGUUUAAAAACUCCCACAUGGAGUUCCCGUCGUGGAGCAGUGGUUAACGAAUCCAACUAGGAACCAUGAGGUUGCGGGUUCGGUCCCUGCCCUUGCUCAGUGGGUUAAGGAUCCGGCGUUGCCGUGAGCUGUGGUGUAGGUCGCAGACGCGGCUCGGAUCCUGCGUGGCUGUGGCUGUGGCGUAGGCUUGAGGCUACAGCUCCGAUUCGACUCCUAGCCUGGGAACCUCCAUAUGCCGCGGGAGCGGCCCAAGAAAUGGCAAAAAGUCAAAAAAAAAAAAAAAAAAAAA
rnacentral:lncRNA from 1 species